UUCGUAGUCCAGUGUUGCUAGUC
rnacentral:miRNA from 1 species